rnacentral:rRNA from 1 species
GCCAACGACCAUACCACGUAGGAACUACUGGUUCUCGUUCGAUCACCAAAGUCAAGCUACGUCGGGCACGGUUAGUACUUGGAUGGGUGACCGCUUGGGAACACCGUGUGUUGCCCCCC